GCUCUUUAGCUCAUGGGUUAGAGCACUGGUCUAGUAAACCAGGGGUUUAGAGUUCAAAUCUCUGAUGAGGCU
rnacentral:tRNA from 1 species